rnacentral:lncRNA from 1 species
GCACAAUUUGUUAAUGAUGAAUUCCCUAAAACCAAAUAAAUCAAUAAAAAAGUGAAGUUUUCCAAGAUCAAGAGAGAAGUGUUUUUUUUUUAACUCCACGAACAUCUGUUUAUAAGUUGAGAAUAUGAAUUUAUAUAUAAAUGAUGUCAAAGGAAGAAAUGUAUUACUAUCAAAAGGGUGUAAAAAAAAAAAAAUGAAUGUUUCGAUGGAGUGGGAAAGGAGGGGAAUGAAUCGAUGUGAAGAGAAGAUGAAUGGGAGAAUGAAUUGAUUAAGGGUGCCAAAAGGGGGGGAAUGAAUCGAUUCUAAAGAAGGGAUGAAUGAGAGAAUGAAUUGAUUAGGGAUAUUGAAAGGUCAUUGUGGGUUAUAAACUAAAAAGGUCAUUAUGGGUUAUAAAAACAACAAUUAUUAUUAUUAGAAAAUUGAGUAAACAUUAAGGAGGUUUUUAUUUUUUUAUUUUUUUAAUAAGAUUUGGAUUAAAAAAAUAAUUUAAUGGAGGUUUUUAUUAUUAAAGGAAUUAAUAUUUAUCUAAAUAUUUUUUUUUGCUACGUAAAAUAAUUAAAAUUAAACAUGAAUUAUUGUAACUUUUUUGAGUCCUGAAAUAUCAUUUCUUAAUUAAAUUAUGAUAUUUUUUAAAAGAGAGAAGUUAUCUAAAUUAUAUUGUUUUAUAUGUUUUCAUUUUUAAAAAUAGAAAAAAAAUAGUCUAUUUUUUUUUUAUAGAAAUUUGGGUAAUAAUAUUUAAUUAAAAUUAUUUUACUUAAAUCAUGAUACAUAUUUUUUAAAAAAGAGAUACAUUAUCUAAAUUGAUUUUUAGGUUUCUCUUUUUUAAAAAUAGAUUAAUUAAAUAAAAUAAAAAUUAAUAUAAUGAUAGGACAUAAGCGGAUGUAAGUGAGAUGAAAAAGACAUUUUAGGAAAGAAAUAAAUUUUUAUCUUUAAAAGUUUGGAAAAAAGUAAUGUUUAUCUAAAUAAGUUUGGGUAAAAAUAUUUAACUUUUUAUAUUUUAAUUAUUUUAAAUAAAUUGAGUCAAUUUAAUAAAGUAUCUUGGUGAAUCAUGACGGUUAAUAACCUUACAACAUGAUUCACCAUAGGUCAUGUCCAAUGUGUAACUAUACACACUAGUGCAUUAAUCAUGAGAAACUCAUCUUGACAACUAAGACAAGUUAUCAUUCCAAUAAGAAGGUAGUGCACUAUAGUCUUUACCAAAUUGCCCAAAUCCAUGAAUUGAUUGUAACUGACUUAUCAUCUUGUAAAGAACUCAUGACUUGUAUCCUCUGUGCAACUCCUAAUACAUUUAUGUCAUGUUCAAUGCAAGUGAUAUGAAUGUGUAUGUUCAAAUAACCAAUUAAUGCAUAUAAAUAAAGGAAAACUAAAAAACAUGAAUACAAAAAAAAAUUAUAAAUGAAUCUCAAUCUAUUGUAUCAUAUCACGCUUUUUACGACUCAAUCCCAACAAUUAUCUUAAUCAUUUAAGUGAUAGGACUAAAGUGCAUAUAAUGAAGAUGAUAAGGUCAUUUUAGGGAAAAAAAAGUCGAUAAAUACUUCACUGUUUUAUAUAUAUAGUAUAAAUGGAUAUAUCUUAGGCUAGAAAUAAGCACUUUUUUUUUUCGUUUUUGACCUCUUAUAAUUUGAAUAUUUCUGGUGUGAUUCUAUUGAAACAAUGUAAGAGAGAAAUUCUCAAAACCUUGAAGUCAUCAUGGUAUCGAAAUAGAAAAACUAACUCUUAAAUUCCAAACCUUCAUUACUUAGUCAUAAGUCUGUUCACUCUUCAUUACUAAGUAGAAACUUCUUUAAUUUCAAACCAACCUUUUUUUGCUUUUAUUUGUUGUUUUUUAGAUCAACCUUAAUUACUAGUAACUCAACUUUCUUUCAUACUGAUAGGCUAUAAGAUAGAUGUUUUUUCUUCGCCAUACAUGUCUAAAAUCAACAAUAACACAACUAACCAAUUCACAACCCAUAACACAAAUCCUAGUGAUUAUCAGAAUGUCUCUACUUCAAAGUUACUAGUGGAAAUUAUCUUUAGUGGUCUCAAAUGGUGGAAACGUAUAUUAAAGGAAAGAAGAAAACUAAGUCAUCUUUUUUUUUUUCCCUAUAAUCAACAAUGAUCCAAAAUUUGUUUCUUAGGAUGAAGAAGAUUCUUUGAUUAUAUCUUAGUUAUGGAAUUCCAUGCAGUUGGAAAUAAAUCAUACUUGUAUGUUUUUCUCCAUAACAAAGGAAAUUUGGGAUGCAAUUCAUAAAACCAAGUCUAAGGUGUGAGGUGUUUCUCGGAUCUAUGAACUCAAGACAAAACCAUGAUGCCAAACAAAGUACUUGAUAUGCAACUAAGUAUUACAAUGUUAUAAAGGGACUGGGUUAGAUUUUCAUCAAAGUUUUAAGAUGGAAUAUAGUAAAGAUGCAACAAUAUAUUAAGAUUUUAUUGAGAAAGUGAGUCUUUGAUUUUUUAUUUUUUAUUUUUUUGAACUAGUUUGUACAAUGUUAUAAAGGGAUUGGGUUAGAUCAUCAUCAAAGUUUUAAGAUGGAAUAUAGUAAAGAUGCAACAAUAUAUUAAGAUUUUAUUGAGAAAGUGAGUCUUUUGAUUUAUUUAUUUUUUGAACUAGUUUGAAUAGUGAAUUUGAUCAAGUUACGGUACAGAUAAUUCGGAGAGAUUUGUUGCCUUUGUUGAAUGAAACACUUACUAUUAUAAGAGAAGAAGAAAGAUGAAGAAAUGUAACAUUGGAAAAUUUUAAUUUCAUGGAUGGUUCAACAUUGUCUAUAUCUAAGUUAAAUGUUAAUGAAGUCGUCAUAACUACCGCUAUUGUUGUUGACAAUGCAAAAAAAUCAAGAAAGAUGGAGGGAUGAAAACAAAGUGAAAAUGACUCAUUUUUGUGCAACUAUUACCACAAGAAUCAUCACAUUAGGGAAAAUUGUUGGAAGCUACAUGGCAAGUCUUCAAAUUUCUUUGGAAAAAAUAAUGAUAGCUGGAGAGGAAAUUCAUGUUACAAGUUCCAAAGUUAUGUUGUUGAUAUAGAAACAAAACAUCUAGAAAAUAUUAUUACUAGAGAAAUUUUCAAUUAGGAGAAGAUCAAUAAGCUAAAACAGUUUAUUUAGUAUCUUGAAAAACUAGGAGGUUUCCAUCAUUUUGUCUAAACAAGUAAGUAUUCCCAAACCCUACAUGCCUCUAGAAAUUCAAUUUUCAAGCACUUGGAUCAUGGAUUCAGGGGCUUCAAAUCAUAUGAUUAGUUCAUCCAAGUCCUUUAACACUUAUAGUCCUUGUCUUGGAAACCAAAAAAUAAAGAUUAUUGAUGAGACUUUUAUCAACAUAGCUAGCCGAGAAAACAUUUCCAUUUCACUAUCCUUAACAUUAAAAAUGUCUUAUAUGUUCCCUUGUUGUCUACAAAUUUGUUAUUAAUUCCUUAUAUUACUAAGACCUAAAUUGCUCAAUGAUAUUUAUAUAUUCUAAAUGAGUUUUUCAAGACUGUCUUAAGAGGAAAAUGAUAGAGUAUAUUAGUGGGAAAGAAAGAUUGUACUUUCUUGAAAUUGAAAGUGACAAGUAUGAUUUUAUCCCUCUACCUUACCUGCCAUAAGAAUGCACUACCAAUAAGAGUCAAUUUUGGUUAUCCCAUUCUCGUCUUGGUUUUUUUAUUUUUUAUUGUUAAAAAAGAUGUUUCCUAUUAUGUUUGAAAAACUAGAUAUUCAAACAUUGUGAUGUGUGUGAGUUCACCAAACACCAUCAUGUGUGAAAGUUUGGAGAAAAAAAUUGUUCUUUUAUAUCUUUGAAGUUUUGGAUUAAAACAUAUAUAUAAGACUACUUUUUAGUAUAUGCAAAAUGAAGAAAAUAAAAUAUAAAAUUGUGAAAAAAAUUAAAAUCUUGAAAUAAAAAAAUAAAAACUAAAUUAGAAACAUUGACUCAAUUGAUUAUAUCUUCUAAUUUACUCCACUAAAUCAAAUCAUAACAUCUUAUUUACAACAAAUCCUUGAGAGGAAACGACUGCUUCAGAGGUGAGAGGAGGUUUGAAAGGUGGAAAGUGUUAGUUUGCAGUAGAAUCCAAGACCUUCGAAAUCUCCAUUGAAGUAGUCUGAGGUAAGCCGAGAGAGAUUAUUUUGGAAAGGAGCAAAGACUCUUCCUAUUGGAUAAGGUUUGGAGAAAGAAGUUUGACCUAUAUGUUGGAAGGUAUGGAAACUUGGUAUAGAGGAGAUUCAAGUUCAAGGUGUCUAAAAGUUUGGGAAAAUGGAGGAAGAAAGUUCAAGUUGGAGUGUCAAUCAAAUGAAGCUAGUAGGUUUUUACUUUGUUUGGUGCAAGAUAUGAAAGCUAAGAAGUAUUGUCUUGUAUUUCCAGAGAGAAAAAGUUUAGUUGUGGGGUGGUUCUUAUUGGUUAAGAAGUUAAGGACCUUAGGAGUCUCCACUCUAGCUCUAAGCAAAGCUUUUUUGGGUGUUUCCACCUUUGAAAAUGGUGGGUGUAGUUUCAAGAGAAAGAGAAAGGGAAAGGAACAUAUGCAGAUGCCACGAGGGUGAAGAUAAGGGUACCAGAUGAGUCUUUAUGGGUGCAUUUAAGGGAUCGAGAACUUCUCUAUAGGGAAGAGCAACUAAGUCGUUGCUUGGUUGGCUGAUUUGGUGACAGUUUUGAAUCGAUUCCUCCUCUGUCAUCCUUGAAAGGGUGGAUGCUUGUAAGUUGGAUUCUGGGGGAAGGGGUUUAAAAAUCUCCAAGUUGGGUGGGGUUCUUAUACUGUUUGAGUUUGAAAAUAAAUGUGAAGUUGAUUUGGUGCUUUGAAGGAGGAACAAACGGUUUAAGGAGAGAGAGUUUCUUUUGUAAAGAUGAGGACUUGAAGUGGGAUGUUUUUGGAAUGGGAGCCAUGCCAAGGAAGUAUGGGUGAGGUUUGUCGGACUUCCUCUUCAGUUUUGGAGUAGAAGGGUGUUUAAGAGAAUUGAGGAGAGCUGUGGGAGUUUUAUAGCUAUAGAUGAGGAAACAAAUUUCUUUUCUUAGUUGCAAUAGGCUCGUAUCUUGGUGAAAGCCACUGGGAAAUAUUUGCCAGGGUCAUUGUAGGUGGUGGUUAAGCAUACUUGCUGGAAAGUUUGUCUUUGGUGGGAAACACCUCAUUGGGUUUCUUAGGUAGUGCCUAGGUCUAAAUUUUACAAAAGUGCAGGGCAUGAGGUUAGAGACGAAGGUGUGGGUGGUGCACGCGCUGGUGAAAGAGUUCAGGAGACUCAACUUGGUGAUCAGAGCUGGGGGUCAGAGGGGUAGGUUGAGUGUGGUAGAAGGAAUAGAGGUACACUUGGUGUAAUGGGUAGGUCGGCUAAAGACAUUGAUUUGGACUCGAUUUUAAGUGGGUCUGUGCUUAGGAUAGUAGGCUAGGAGCAGUUUAAAGGAAAAUAAACGUUAGACUCAAGUGAGUGGGUUCAUGAAAAGCCUAUGGGUGGAGCGGGUUGGGUCAUGGGCUCUAACCCCUUCAUCCCUAUGAGUGUGGGUCUGGUUGACUAAGGGGCCUUUUGGGUCCAUUUUAAAAGAGGUCCAUCCCCUUGUGUGCCUUUUUGGGCAACUCUUUUCAUUUAGGGCUCUUUCUAAGUCUGUUGUGGGAGCUUUGGGGCUAGAGUAGGUGGUGCUAGUUGAUGAAGACUUCAACGUCGGGGGGUUACUUCCUAGUCGAUCAAUGCUCACCGACGAGGCAGUGAUGGAUGAAGUAUUCGGGUAUCCCGUUUAUCACAACCGCUCUUUUUUUUCUUUGGGGCUUCGAGGUGUUUCUUUUUCUACUCCUUUCUUGGGACCCGACGAAGCUUUAUUGGUGUCAGG